CUGUCUGUAGAUUUCUUCUCUCUGUGUCUCACACACAUUUUAUUUGAAAGCAUUGAAUAAGUAGCUCAGGCUCUGGCUCAGACUUAAGGGACUGAUGAAGUACGCCCCCACCGCAGCCAGCUUUCUCUGCGCCCCAGUCCAGCCAGUUCCAGACGUCGGGCUGAGAUUCUGCUAUCACGUAGGCAGUGAGACUGGGGGAGACGCGAAGCUUCCCUUGAAACCAUCAAGACAGAUGUGCGCGUGUUUUAGGGUGUACCCCCAAGGCAAGCACAUCUGGGGCGUCUCCAGGCAGAUGCUCACCCUCGGGGUCAACCAGGAGGCUGCAGCUUUGCGAGACAACCACCGCCCAGAACCCUGGUCCGGGUGGAGGGGUGGGCGGCACCGCCCCUCGGGGAAUGUUCUCCCGACUUCGGAGAGGAAGAAAGGAAGAAAUGCACCCUAGGAAAAUGGGCUUCGACUUUUUGUGUCUGUGCUUUCAUGGAAGUCACCAGUUCUCUGGCUGCUUAAGAUGCUGCUCAGAAGCGCACCGAGCCAGACUGUGGCUAGCCUGGCUAAGUCCGCGUGUCCUGGUCGGCGACCACUUAGGGUAGCCCCGGGAUAAACAAUAGCCACCAAGUCUAGGAGAGAUAUAUUCGCCAUGCUUACCUGUUGACAAAAAGAAAAUGAAAAAUAAAAUUUAAAAUUUGGAAAAUAAUACAUGGUAACAUCUUUUAGAACCGAGGCUUUUCAGACAAAAGCCAAUUUUACCAUGCCAAAAGCCAUGGAGCCCUGGAACUUCCGUUCGCGGCACUUUGGCGCCCUCUGGCUGUGUCAGGAUUGCUUGCUUGUUCUGCUUCGUCCCAAACGAAGAGGGGCAAUGGAAAUGCUUGCUGUCCUCUUGGUUGGAUCUACCCUCAUGAGAGGAACACGAAUUCAGAAGGAUCUUAUCCUCCACGGUCGCGAUGGCAAAACAUAACCAUAUUUAUAGAGACAAACGCCAAAGGGUCUCACUCAUAAAGACCCAUGCCUCUCCAUCUGCCUCUCCACCCCAGGGACUGGGAUUAAAGUCUUGAGGAGUCUCCUACCAAUCGGACAGUUAAAGCAUGACGACGUGAGUGACAGUCGGCAGUUCUACGGCAGAGAUCAGCCUCAGAGCAUUGUAUGCAUCCUCUCUUUCACCCCUGGCCACAACACCUUAUGAAAAUAAACUUAUCACAGUCAUUUCUUAAAAGCAGAGAUGAAGGCCAAGAGAAGACAGAGGCCUCGUCCUCCUCCAAUUGUAAAACCGAAUUCCAGCUGGAAAAUCUCUCUCCAAACCACACACUAACAGCAUGGAUAUGCCUCUUUCUCUUCGCAAGCCCAGAGAGACCAUGUAGAGAGUGCCAAAAAUCAGCUCCAAGCCCUCAGGAGGGCAGAGACCACAGGCAUCCAUGAGACACCUCUCUGCCUCUCCCACUGUUCUCUCCUCUUUUUUCUCCUUCUCCUCUUCCUCCUCCUUCUCUUCCUCCCCACAAUCCUCCCUUCUGCUCUCAAAGGCUCCUUCCCAGGAUGGAUUGGGUGCUGGGAGGACCACAGUUUAGUCUGACAGCUUCCUUUCCCUGUGUCUUAUUUCAAACACGAACUGUACAAUGUGGA